UUUUUUUCCCCUAUAAUUUCAUGUUCAUUAAUUGCUUUUGUACUUUUUUUUUUUUUUUUUGCUAGAAUAAUUGCUUUUGUCCUUUGAACGUUUAUAUUUUAGAUGAAAUAUUAAAAUAAUUUUAAAAAUCACUUCAAGAAUAAUAUAAAAUAAUGAAAUCAAUUCCAUUUAAUAAUAAAUUAGGCCUAGUUCAUCUUGACAUUGGUUUUGAUCUGUAUCAGAUAAAAAUAAACCAUAUUUGGAAAGAAGAAGUAAAAAAUAAUAAGAGUAAUAUGUAAUAUAUAUAUAUAUAUAUAUAUUUAUGAUUAUUAUUGAUUAGUCAGGAACCAAAUGGCAAUAAGAUCACGUGAGAGUGUGCAAGACGGAUAGAAAAGGAGAUGCCAAAGAUAACAGCCUGCUAAAACUCUUUUCAAAAGGCCAGCAAAUGCAUGGCUUUUUUUUUUGUUUUUUUUUUUUUUUUGUUUAAAUGGCAAUAAAAAAUACAGUAAUUCUCAACUCAAUUAUUUAUAUUUUGAGUUGCGGAAAAAAAAAAAAAUCAAACUGAGCAAGAAGUGGGAUCCACUAUUGAUUUGAUAAUUAAAAUGUUACUUAGUAAAUGCACCUCAAUUAUUUUAUAAGGGUGCACUAGACGUGUAGUCUACCCAACGACAGGCGAAGCAGGUUGAAAACUACCAUUUUUAUGAAAACGGUAGUCAAAGUGGGGGUGCAGAAGGAUAGUGACAAAGAAAGGCCAGAAGAGGAAUAUCAGAAUGCUUUGGCCAUAUCACCAGAGCUGAAUACUUUAAAAAAGAAAACAUUAGAAGGGCAAGUAUCGGAUAAUCUCAGCGAGAUUCAAGCAGCAGUCCUGCACCAAGUUCGUAUUUCAAAUUUCAAUCCUCAAGCUUUAGCCACGUGGGUCAGUGGUCUACUCCAACACAUUUCCUUGUUCAAUGCUGAAGAGGGACGUGAAAACAUCAAUUUUUAAGGAAACCAAUCACAAAAUAGGGAAGAAGCUCUGCAACUUACAACUAUGGAAGGAGGGAACACCAGACUCACUCCUCAAGAAGAGAACAGCGGAGGCCCUGCUGAUGUUGUUCUUGGUGUUUUGUCAAGUUUGCUAGUUGUUCUUGGUGUUGUUUCCAUCAGACAAAAAGCAACCAUCAAGUUUGCUACUUGUUCUUGAUGUUGUUUCCAUCAGACCAAAAGCACCCAUCAAAGCAUCAAAGUUUGCAAACUAGCUAUAUAUUUUUAGCCCUGUAUUAUUACUAUAAAUAGACAGAAAAGAGAGAGAGAGAGAGAGAGA